GUUGAACGCUGGCGGCAGGCCUAACACAUGCAAGUCGAGCGGAUGAAGGGAGCUUGCUCCUGGAUUCAGCGGCGGACGGGUGAGUAAUGCCUAGGAAUCUGCCUGGUAGUGGGGGAUAACGUCCGGAAACGGGCGCUAAUACCGCAUACGUCCUGAGGGAGAAAGUGGGGGAUCUUCGGACCUCACGCUAUCAGAUGAGCCUAGGUCGGAUUAGCUAGUUGGUGGGGUAAAGGCCUACCAAGGCGACGAUCCGUAACUGGUCUGAGAGGAUGAUCAGUCACACUGGAACUGAGACACGGUCCAGACUCCUACGGGAGGAAGCAGUGGGGAAUAUUGGACAAUGGGCGAAAGCCUGAUCCAGCCAUGCCGCGUGUGUGAAGAAGGUCUUCGGAUUGUAAAGCACUUUAAGUUGGGAGGAAGGGCAGUAAGUUAAUACCUUGCUGUUUUGACGUUACCAACAGAAUAAGCACCGGCUAACUUCGUG
rnacentral:rRNA from 1 species